rnacentral:rRNA from 1 species
GACGAACGCUGGCGGCGUGCUUAACACAUGCAAGUCGAACGGAAAGGCCCUGCUUUUGUGGGGUGCUCGAGUGGCGAACGGGUGAGUAACACGUGAGUAACCUGCCCUUGACUUUGGGAUAACUUCAGGAAACUGGGGCUAAUACCGGAUAGGAGCUCCUGCUGCAUGGUGGGGGUUGGAAAGUUUCGGCGGUUGGGGAUGGACUCGCGGCUUAUCAGCUUGUUGGUGGGGUAGUGGCUUACCAAGGCUUUGACGGGUAGCCGGCCUGAGAGGGUGACCGGCCACAUUGGGACUGAGAUCCGGCCCAGACUCCUCCGGGGGGCAGCAGUGGGGAAUAUUGCACAAUGGGCGGAAGCCUGAUGCAGCAACGCCGCGUGCGGGAUGACGGCCUUCGGGUUGUAAACCGCUUUCGCCUGUGACGAAGCGUGAGUGACGGUAAUGGGUAAAGAAGCACCGGCUAACUACGUG